AUACUUACCUGGCAGGGGAGACACCAUGAUCAAGAAGGUGGUUCACCCAGGGCGAGGCUCGGCCAUUGCACUCCGGUUGGUUGUGUGAGAAAAGCUAAAAUGAAUACACAUGCAGUAUAUGACAAUUGUCGACAGUAUGGCACUGCAGGCCCACAGGCCGUA